GUCUUUUUGAGUAUAAUUUAAAGUCUAAUCUGCCCACUGAUAAAUAUUAAAGGGCUGCAGUAUAAUGACUGUACAAAGGUAGCAUAAUCAAUAGUUUUUUAAUUGGAAACUUGUAUGAAAGAUUUGAUGAAAUAUAAGCUGUCUCUUAUUUAUUAUUAGAAAUUUAUUUUUUAGUUAAAAAGCUAAAAUAAUUUUAAAAGACGAGAAGACCCUAUAGAGUUUUAUAUUUAUUUUUAUUUUAUAGUUAUAUAAAAAUUUAAAGUAAAAUAAAAUUAAGUAUUUUGUUGGGGUGACAGAAAAAUUAAAUUAACUUUUUUUAAAAAUUAAACAUUAAUAAAUGAUUAAAUGAUCCAUUAAUAAUGAUUAUAAGAAAAAAUUACCUUAGG
rnacentral:rRNA from 1 species